GCCACGGUUCCCUGCAGCAGCCAGGGGUUCCCUACAGGCGGCCGGGGGUUCCCUACAGGCGGCCGGGGGUUCCCUACAGGCGGCCGGGGGUUCCCUGCAGCGGCCAGGGGUUCCCUACAGGCAUCCGGGGGUUCCCUACAGGGGGCCAGGGGUUCCCUACAGGCGGCCAGGGGUUCCCUGCAGUGGCCGGGGGUUCCUUACAGGCAGCCAGGGUUCCGUGCAGUGACUGGGGGUUCCCUACAGGCAGCUGGGGGUUCCCUAUAGGCAGCCAGGGGUUCCCUGCAGCGGCUGGGGGUUCCUUACAGGCAGGGUUCUCUGCAGUGACCGGGGGUUCCUCACAGGCGGCCAGGGGUUCCCUGCAGCAGCCAGGGGUUCCCUGCAGCGGCCAGGGUUCCCUGCAGCAGCCAGGGGUUCCCUACAGGCAGCCGGGGGUUCCCUACAGGCGGCCGGGGGUUCCCUACAGGCGGCCGGGGGUUCCCUGCAGCGGCCAGGGGUUCCCUACAGGGGGCCAGGGGUUCCCUACAGGCGGCCAGGGGUUCCCUGCAGCAGCCAGGGUUCCCUGCAGUGGCCAGGGGUUCCCUACAGGCGGCCAGGGGUUCCCUAUAGGCAGCCGGGGGUUCCCUGCAGCGGCUGGGGGUUCCUUACAGGCAGUCAGGGUUCUCUGCAGUGACCGGGGGUUCCUCACAGGCGGCCAGGGUUCCCUGCAAAGGCCGGGGGUUCCCUACAGGUGGCUGGCGCUUCCCUGCAGGCAUGGCCACUGGCCCUGGGGUGGCCCUCGUGCAUGCUCGUGGCCCCAUUUCCUUUGUAUUCAUGCUUAGCUAUAUGGGAGACGCAUCGAAAAUAGCUUUAUUUGAAAUACAAGAUGAGGCUUGAACUCUGGUUUGCAAAGAGAGAGGAAGCCUGUUACAAGAGGCGGUUCACAAGCCGUCAUGUGCUUUACGAGUGCCCUUGACCUCACGUAGGCACAAAUAGUCAUUUUAGCAUUAACAGACAUCAUAUAUUUUUAGAAUUUACUUGCAGCAUUUAUAUUUUGAAGUAUACAUGAAAUUUCCUAUUUUAUCAUUCAAUCCCAGGUCAGACAAAAAGGGUAGCUUUGACUGGCUUUUUUAAUAAGAUCACAUUAUCAAGCGAUUGUGCGAAUCCGAUGUUUUAAUGAUUAGCGGGUGGGUGAAAAGUCUGGGUAUGAAAAUAAUUCUCAGUGCUUGCUGCUGGUUGGAAGAAACCAGACCCAGGACUGGCAGGUCUGAGCAGGGGCGCGAGGGCCUCGCCAACGGGGCUCCCGGCCGCCCACAGCCGCUCUGUGGAUUGUUACCUGAUGUUUCCUAAAACAGUACUGGUCUGAAGUCCAUGGCCGGUUUUAGAGAAACAGUCCAGGCCGGAGUCCACAGUUCACGUUCACCGAGAAGGCGAGCCACGCGGUUCCUGGAGGGCUGACCUUGUGCCGACAUCACAGGCCUUGGGACGGUUCUUAGGGUGCGUGUGGUUGUGUGAACACCCCCCAGCACUCCUUGAUAAUCUCUACACGGGAUGGAAGUACUUUCCAGACAUUCCCAUGUGGGCAGGGGGUUCUGAUCUCCCGAAGGCCCCAGAUGGAGCCCCAACAUGUGCACGUCAGAACUGACAGCUGGUUAGUGAGGACUUAGGAUCAUCUAGGAUUAGACUAGGCUUUAACUUCCUGUGUGACUCAUUGGUGCAAAAAACCGUGGUGGUACUUAUGCCCUGACCCGUUUCCCGCUUGUUCUGACUACCAAGGAGGAACCUCGGAAGCUGCACCUGCUCGGCGGGCAGGCUCGACUUUGUUCCUUGUACAAUCUCGUGUAACGGGGCAGGACCGAUGGAAGAGGUGGCUUCAUUUUCUUUUAAUCUUGCGGGUUUCGAGAUUAGAAAAUGGCAUAUUUGCUCUGACACGUUUGAGAAGACAGAAAUAAAGUUACGUUGGGCAGAAUUUUUUCUUCUUUUAUAAACUCCUGUUAUUUUCAAAGCGGAGCAUGUUUUGUGAAAACACCUGUGUACAAUUUAAAGAGCAAGAAUAAAAUGAACGAUGGUGUACCUAC